rnacentral:rRNA from 1 species
GAUGAACGCUGGCGGCGUGCUUAACACAUGCAAGUCGAACGAAGCAAUCUAACGGAAGUUUUCGGAUGGAAGCUGGAUUGACUGAGUGGCGGACGGGUGAGUAACGCGUGGGUAACCUGCCUCACACUGGGGGACAACAGUUAGAAAUGACUGCUAAUACCGCAUAAGCGCACAGGACCGCAUGGUCUAGUGUGAAAAACUCCGGUGGUGUGAGAUGGACCCGCGUUUGAUCAGGUAGUUGGUGGGGUAACGGCCUACCAAGGCGACGAUCAAUAGCCGACCUGAGAGGGUGACCGGCCACAUUGGGACUGAGACACGGCCCAAACUCCUACGGGAGGCAGCAGUGGGGAAUAUUGCACAAUGGGGGAAACCCUGAUGCAGCGACGCCGCGUGAGUGAAGAAGUAUUUCGGUAUGUAAAGCUCUAUCAGCAGGGAAGAAAAUGACGGUACCUGACUAAGAAGCCCCGGCUAACUACGUGCCAGCCGCCGCCGUAA